rnacentral:rRNA from 1 species
AGAGUUUGAUCCUGGCUCAGGAUGAACGCUAGCGACAGGCUUAACACAUGCAAGUCGAGGGGCAGCACGGGAGUAGCAAUACAACUGGUGGCGACCGGCGCACGGGUGAGUAACGCGUAUGCAACCUACCUAUCAGAGGGGAAUAACCCGGCGAAAGUCGGACUAAUACCGCAUAAAACAGGGGCACCGCAUGGUGAUAUUUGUUAAAGAAAUUCGCUGAUAGAUGGGCAUGCGUUCCAUUAGGUAGUUGGUGAGGUAACGGCUCACCAAGCCGACGAUGGAUAGGGGAACCGAGAGGUUGGUCCCCCACACUGGUACUGAGACACGGACCAGACUCCUACGGGAGGCAGCAGUGAGGAAUAUUGGUCAAUGGGCGGGAGCCUGAACCAGCCAAGUCGCGUGAAGGAAGAAGGAUCUAUGGUUCGUAAACUUCUUUUGCAGGGGAAUAAAGUGCAGGACGUGUCCUGUUUUGUAUGUACCCUGAGAAUAAGGAUCGGCUAACUCCGUGCCAGCAGCCGCGGUAAUACGGAGGAUCCGAGCGUUAUCCGGAUUUAUUGGGUUUAAAGGGUGCGUAGGUGGUUUGAUAAGUCAGCGGUGAAAGUUUGCAGCUUAACUGUAAAAAUGCCGUUGAAACUGUCGGACUUGAGUGUAAAUGAGGUAGGCGGAAUGCGUGGUGUAGCGGUGAAAUGCAUAGAUAUCACGCAGAACUCCGAUUGCGAAGGCAGCUUACUAAGCUACAACUGACACUGAAGCACGAAAGCGUGGGGAUCAAACAGGAUUAGAUACCCUGGUAGUCCACGCAGUAAACGAUGAUUACUAGCUGUUUGCGAUACACAGUAAGCGGCACAGCGAAAGCGUUAAGUAAUCCACCUGGGGAGUACGCCGGCAACGGUGAAACUCAAAGGAAUUGACGG